CGGUCAGCUUGGCGGCAAGGUAGUCCAUCGGGUGCCGUUCGGUGGACUGUACGAAGUAGUCCGGAUAGCUGAUCAUGUCGGCUUCGGCCAU
rnacentral:tRNA from 1 species